rnacentral:rRNA from 1 species
AACGAACGCUGGCGGCAGGCCUAACACAUGCAAGUCGAACGCCCUAGCAAUAGGGAGUGGCAGACGGGUGAGUAACGCGUGGGAACGUACCCUUCGGUCUGGAAUAACCCAGGGAAACUUGGGCUAAUACCGGAUACGUGCGAGAGCAGAAAGAUUUAUCGCCGAAGGAUCGGCCCGCGUCCGAUUAGCUAGUUGGUGAGGUAAAAGCUCACCAAGGCGACGAUCGGUAGCUGGUCUGAGAGGAUGAUCAGCCACACUGGGACUGAGACACGGCCCAGACUCCUACGGGAGGCAGCAGUGGGGAAUAUUGGACAAUGGGCGAAAGCCUGAUCCAGCCAUGCCGCGUGAGUGAUGAAGGCCCUAGGGUUGUAAAGCUCUUUCGCCAGGGACGAUAAUGACGGUACCUGGAUAAGAAGCCCCGGCUAACUUCGUG